UGUAGGCUUGUACUGAAGACAGAAUGUAGUAAGGUGAAGGCUGUUGCACAAAUUUCGUAAUGAGGAACCAAAGGAAAUCAAACAUGUAAAACAGAAAACCCAAACAAAUCAACCAUUAACAUACAUAAUAAAAUAACUUGCUAAGCAACAGCAGUUAAACAUCAAUUCAUGGAACAUUUUUCUGAUUAUAAGUAUCUUACUGCCUUAAGAAAACAAAGGACAGGGCAUUUAUCUGGUAGAAAAGUUUAGUUUGCUCUUGCUAUAAAAAGUGAGAUGAACAGUUAAUAGAUUUACAUUUUAUUCUACUGCACUUAAAUUCUAGAAAGUAGUGUAAUAUGGUCAAUUAGAAUUUUACAGUAAAAGCCCUACAGCUGAUGAUGCAGCCUCCAAGCGAGACAAUUAGAUGAAGAUACCCAACAGUUCCACAGGAGCCAGGUGAGUUACUUGUGGGCUUAAGCUUUCACUAGGCCUGGAUUUGAGAUAUCUGUGAACUCGCCUUCAGCUUCCAGCUGGCAGCAGCACAGAGACAUUGGUUCAGUUUCACUGCUUUAUCACACCACUUAACAGCUGUUUCAAAUACAGAACCUUGCCCAUCAAGGAACCACCAAGAAAUAUUUAUUUGGAAGAGUUCUAAUAACCAGCAGAUAUUUCUCAAAAACUGUCUACAUGAAAUGUAAUCCUCUUAAAUAAAGCUCAAAGUUGUUUUUUUAAGUAGUUAAUAGAAAUAAUUGAGAAAUCAAGACUAAAGUUUGCUCUCAAAUUCCAUCUUUCUACAACAGGCUAUGUGCACGCAAUCCCCAGCUGGAAUCCUAGGACUUUAAAUUUAUGUAAGUACUUAAGUUUUAAAACUAUAUAUUAAGAUUAAAGAGCUGCUUCUAAAAGGAAGAACAUUGGACUACUACUAGUCUAUCUGAAAAGAAAAAUCAGCUAGUUGAAAAUAUCUUAGGCCCACUACAAUUUUAAGAUUGGAUCAAUAUAUUUAAAGUUAAGAGAAAACUGCCAUUAACUACAAGUGUAAACUAAAAAUAGUUUUGUACUUACCAAGAUGCUCGAAUUUCUAGGUUAAGUUUAGCUCUUUGUAAUCUUUAGCUGCUAUUCAGGCUACCAAUUUUAGACUUAUGCACUCACAAUCGAGAAAAUGUCAUCAGAAAGCACCACUACACUUCUCAUUGUGCAUUUAACCCCUUUGUGCCAUCAGGCCCUUGUACAAUACACCGCACUGCAAACAGGAAGGUACCACCACUGUAGAUGGCCCAGUCUCCUGUUGCAACAAGGGUAAGACACAUGUAGGGGGCCCUGCAGUAAAGGAAGCUAUAGUGUGCUACAACAGUGCAACAAAGAGGUUCAGGAUAACAACCUGUUGGUAGCCAUGAAAUAGGAUGUCUGUGCCAAAUCCUUGCUUGCUGUAAGAAAAGAAAAACAGAGAGAUUAAAGAUCUGUGUUAACUUGUCAGGUUCAUUUCAAAAUUAAAGCAGAUUUACCUUCCAAAAGCACCGCUUGGUAUUUCCACAGAACUGAUCUGAAUUUAGCUAACUAACCUUUAAAAUAAUAUUUUCUGAGAUACAGAAGAGGCCUUUACAUUCCAUAACUGGACAUGGACCAGUCAUUCCAGUCACUGACCCUCCCCCUGUGCCACCCUCAGGACAGUUCCCCAUGGCUUAUCUACCCCGCCAAGGCCUCGCACACAAGUGCACGCUCUCCUAGGAAUACCUGCUGCCCACCCUCAUGUACAGACCAUCCCUAGCAUAACCUUGGCCUGCAGUAAGGCAGCCACUAAAAACCAGUUCAUAGCACAGUGCAAGUUCUGCUCUUGGAGAAGAGCAUGGCAGAGAGCUGGAGAACACCCCUCCCAUCCCCAGCACCUCCCAAAACCAGCCACACCUCUCUCCCAAAGCUCUACAACACACUAAGCUCCCAAGCUAGAUGGUAAAGAAAUGAGUUUUCAGCUCCCUCUAAGAGCACCAUAUUCAUAACAUUUUGUUCCACAUUUGUUAAAACUAUGGCAAAGCUUUGAUAAGAAAUAAAACAACUUCAUUUUGGUUACAGUCAGGAACAAACCGCACAAGACUGCAACGUGUCAGAAAUGAAAAGCUAACGACUGAGGCUGUAACAGCCACCCAGCACUGACCCCUACCAGUGAAACCCCAACGCUCCUCACUCAAUACUGGAGCAUCCUUGGAAUGGGCACUGAGGCUUGCUGACAGACUUUCAGAGAUCCACUGCCUUCAGAUUCCUUAGAGGACCUGUGGAAUCCUAAGGAAUGAUGGUCCUCUCUCCUCUUCUCAGUCUCUUGACACUGAGGAAGAACGGUGCAGAAAAAAGACUGAGCCCACACCAUUUUCCUUGUCUACUAUACUGACCAAGCUGUAAAGAUGGAACAAUUUCAUCAACCCAUGAGUCUCUGAAAACCAGAAGGAAUAAUUAGAUACUUUAUGCCUGAACAUCAUGAGUUAUUACGUAUCCAUCCAGUCACCCCUUAUCUACAGAGAUUUGUGUUGUCUAAUACUACCUUCAGAAAGGCUUUCAAUCUUAGAGAAGAAGAAUUCAACUUUUUCUUUAGUUGUAUGUUGAAGCAAUUAUGUUUAUUUGUACUAAUUCCUACUUACUAGUUCAUCUUCUGUUUCGCCACUACAAGACUAGACAGUCUUCUGACAAAGGACUUGGCUGAAUCUUUUGAGAAUCAUCAACAGAACCUGGUUUGGUUUUUUUUUUCUAUUUUCCAUUUUGUUUUUAAAGGGGACAGCUUACAGAUUAAUACAGGUAACAGUGACAGCAUAAAGCACAUCACCCUUGAUGCAAGACAACAAAAAGUGAUAUAGAGAAUCAGCCAUCCUCUUAUCCACCUAAGUUUAGCCCGCAAAAGGGCAUCUUCUUACCACAGGGCAAUUAAGUGUACAUGUACUAAGCCAAAACCUUAAGUACACCUGCAAGCCUCAGCUACCUUUGUUGCCUGUCUUUUGAUAUUAUGUAGUCAGCCACAUUAUAUUCCUCCCUCCUAUUCCCAGACAUACAGUUGGAGGUUUUAAUCAUAGCAGUCUUGAAUAAGUUAAUCACAUUUAAUAAAAAUGUAUCUCUGUCUUCUGAAAUAGUGCUUUUUGUCCAAGACAACAUGUUACCAGAACUGGAUGAAGCAACCUUGCAUUUCUUUAACUUCUCAGUCAAUCCCUUUAGCACUAAAGGCUUAGCACUGACAAGUCAUAUAUUUUGAAAGCUGCAGGACUUGAUAUCUAAGUGUUGCACCUAGUCACAUUAAAACAACACACUGUCCAAUAAAUAAAUGUUAAGGGAUGGAGAACUAAAAUCAUACCACCGCAUCUUUGAAGAUAUAUUGCUGUGCCCACAAGCCCAUCUCUUUAUUCACUCAAUACAAGAAUAGUGUUCCACAGCACUUAUUCUCUACUUGUUUGACACACAUGCAUGACUACAGAUUUCAUGCUCAAUGUUUUUAAUUUAUGGAUUAAUUUGUCAGGUUUUUUUCUUAAUAUGAGGUACUUGAGUUUUAUGUUCACAGCCUAUACCACCCCUAGGAGGGGCACAGGCCAACAAGAAAUCCAUUUGAAUACACACAUGCUAAGGAGCACAUCUACUCCAGUGAGUAGGUUUUCAAGCAUCAGAUGUAUUACAUUCACUUUGCACCAGUCCCCAAGGAACAUGGAUCUUGAGCCCUCCCAGGAGUCUUCAGAUUUCAAGACUUGGUAUGAUUUUAGAAUGUGCUGACAUUAAACAUUACCUUUAAAAUGUCAUUUAAAAAUUUGCAUGUACCUUCAGUGUGUGAAUUCUGUCAGUACACAAAAGUAGCACACAUAACACAAAGGAAAAAGCUGAACUGUCUUAGUGUGAUAUCUACCCUGGACUAAACGAAAUUAAGUCUGUGUUAAGUAUGCCCUUCUUGUGGGCUCAAGUCAAAUAUGCUCACUAGUGUGGAAAUCAUAAUGUAGCUACAACACUGCCUGCCACCCUCCCCACAGCCUCAGAUACCGGGUGGAAGUGCAGGGGCUCACACAAAAGGGAAAUACAUGCUCACAUGUAUAUUGAGCAACAGCUACGAAAAUCCAAAGCAAAACCCCACAGAGCUGCUGAUGCAGACUAUUGAGACUUUAGGUGUAAUUAGACUUAUGCAUUGAGUCACAACCAAGCCUGGACAGAAAGCAAAGAAUCAUUAUCUCAUAGCAAUAAAGCUUCUUUAUAUGAAAAUAAGUUACAGCACCAGUCCUACUCAGGAUCCACCUCUGAAGACAUUACACCAGUAAGCUACUUAAAAGUGAGAGAUAAUUUUCCUUCAAAGAAAACAGAUCUAGUUAAUAUGGUAAAGUUGUAUCAAACUUUCUUAUGUUUUAUAGAGAAAAACCAAAAAAAACACCUUUGAAGAACCUAACUUUGCAUUUUUCACUGUAAAAACAGCUAAUGACUAGAGACUGACAACCAUGGUCCAAUAAUUUCCAAAUACUUUUUAAUGAAGGAACACAAUUACAG